UGCUGCUGCUUUUUCUCUGAUUUGUAGGCUACAGAUGUAUCUAUCUAAAGUAACUUGCUUUUCAGUAUUUUGCUGAGUCCACUGUAAAUUAAAAUCAUGCAAAGGGGUUCAGAUAACAACAUGCCACUGACACCCAUCUCUCUCAAGAGCUGCAGCUGCUAUCAUUACUGGCUUCAGACAAUUUUCUGGUGAAUAAAUCUGGACAAUACUAGAAAGAUGCUGCCCUCCUGGUCUAAUCUCACCAAGCAAAUGAAGAGAAACUCCUGUACCCAUAGACAGUGAGGAUGAUUUUAACCUAUUUACAGGUGACUCAUUGGAUUUUUCUGGCUUGUUCUAUGAAUUCUCAACCAAUAUCAACAAUAAUUCAUUUUUUUUUAUAGAUCCUAUCAUGUGUAAGAUCACAGCCACCAACCAUUAUGCAAAGCCAGAACAGAUGUGGCUGCUGAUAUCAAUUGCUUAAAUACUGAGUGCAAGAUUGCAUCAAACCUUCUGUAGAUUUACAUGAUGAGAACUAUCUAGUUUUUUGCUUCCUUACAUCUGAGUUAGUAAAAACUUUUACUCAUCUGAGUGUAUUGCUUCCUUCAGGUAAUGAUUUUCUCUAAUGGAUACAGUGGGAGUUUUGCCACUGACUUUAGAAAUUUUCAUCCAGUGAUGUCUAGAACUAGGUCCAGAUAUAUCAAUGGCGGAUCUGGGAAACUUGCCCAGUGACUCAAGCUGGAUCUUUUCUCCCUGUGGCUCCUGAGAAUGUUUGUUCUUCCUGAAAAUAC